rnacentral:rRNA from 1 species
UAACGCGAAGAACCUUACCAGGUCUUGACAUCUUGCGCCAACCCUAGAGAUAGGGCGUUUCCUUCGGGAACGCAAUGACAGGUGGUGCAUGGUCGUCGUCAGCUCGUGUCGUGAGAUGUUGGGUUAAGUCCCGCAACGAGCGCAACCCUUGUUACUAGUUGCCAGCAUUAAGUUGGGCACUCUAGUGAGACUGCCGGUGACAAACCGGAGGAAGGUGGGGACGACGUCAGAUCAUCAUGCCCCUUAUGACCUGGGCUACACACGUGCUACAAUGGACGGUACAACGAGUCGCGAACUCGCGAGGGCAAGCAAAUCUCUUAAAACCGUUCUCAGUUCGGACUGCAGGCUGCAACUCGCCUGCACGAAGUCGGAAUCGCUAGUAAUCGCGGAUCAGCAUGCCGCGGUGAAUACGUUCCCGGGUCUUGUACACACCGAA